ACAGAAACACUCAAGACAUUCUGAAGAACUGGUUCAGAAAUGGUCGACAACAACACCCUCAACUGGAUCUGGAACAGGAAGACUGCAGAACGCCGUUGGAUUACACCUCCAGAUGGCAACUAUUACAACUGUGUGAGGGACAACUCUUUGACUGUUCAGAAACCAGAACUGACUCAAAAUAAUGAUGAUAAGGAAUCUGCUGGUCGAAACAACAACAGAAACGUAACAGACACGUUGACCCAAUGAGGACGGCGAUCAGAACUCUAUCGGAUAGGAUAUUCCACUCUGGAAUUUGGUGGAUGCAUGGAAAACUGUUUUUGCAAUUAUUUUCCCUCAAUUUAUAUUUACUAAGUUGUCACAGGUGGAUCACUAAUGUUUAGUUUUUUACUUUUUACAACAUUUUUUUGUCACAAGUCUUCCUCUCCUCUUGCCCUGUUCUCUCUCUCCCUUUCUCUGAUCCUUACUCUUAGUUUAGGUCAGAAAGCACUCUCUCCGUCUCUUUUCGUCUCUCUCUCUUUCUAUCUCUCUCCCAACUCGUCAGCUCACAUUAUAUGAGUAAUCACUGAGACCUUGAUUAGACAUCAAUAAGCGGAUAGAAGUAUGCUCCUCCUUCCAGCAUCACUGACCUAUUGGCCUGGUGUACGUUGAUGGACAUCACUGCCCUCUCCGGAUCUCUCUCUCUCUCGCUGUCUCUCUUAUGUUUGGUUGCAGAUUUACUUUAACCAUGAUAAACAGCUAAAUUAUGGUAAUUUGAAUUCAGAUUUAAUUUUGAUCAAAGAGCUGUCACAAGGUAUUGCCCAUCAGAUGACCGGACGUCAUUUAAAUAUGAAUAAUUGAACGAGAGGUAUGACUUUUUUGAACCUGUGAUAUCUGAGAUCUACUAUCUACUAAUAAUUGAACAGUGUCGGCCCAAAUGACUGAGCCAGACACUUUUGAAACAGCAGAUCAGAACAGGAGGCGGGGCCAAGUGGAUGCUUGGCCGCAGGGGGAUGAAGGGGGGGGGAAGCAAUUCCUUCGCUGCAACCAAUCAUCUGCUUGAGACACAUGACCAUUAUCUUCUGCGCCGUGCUCAUUAUGAGUUCUCUUAACAUUGUGAACCGUCUGGCUGCUGUUGAUAUCGGAGAUAACGAGCAGCACGGCUGGAUGCUGUACUGGCUGCAGGGGAUGAGAAUCGGUAAUCGCUCAGAAAUAACAAGUGGACACGUCCACAAGCAUGCCCACACACAUACACACUUACAUAAAUAUAGACUGCUGUCGGACAGAGACAAACAUUCCUCCCCUCCCGGGAGCUGAUGACGCCUAACCGUUUAUUUUUUUUAUCCCAUUCAUUUCGCCGCACCCAUCCGUGUCUGACCGCGCGCAUCGCCAUCUUGUCGCAUCGCCAUCUCCCUCCACACGUCACGAUGUGCCCUCGUUUCACCUUUACCAAAUGCUGCACACCUCAUCACAGAUGUCCUCAUUAGAACUCUCCUGUCACCUCUCUCUCUCUCUCUCUCUCUCUCUCUCUCUCUCUCCUCCGUAACUCUUUCCCAGCCCCUCCACCAACCCUCCCUGCCUGCUCUCCCUCUAUCCUUGUCUGGUGGCUGGACAGGGCCGUAUUUCUGCGGUUUUAGUGGCGCCUUAUUGGGCGGCCUGAGGCGCAGGGGGGUCGGCUGAUUGGCCAUCUAGUGUCAGGACUCAGGAUGAGUGAGAUCCUGACCAGGUGCAGCACUGAUGCACAGACGAUGGAGAAGGGAGGAGAGGAGUAGCCCUAGUCGGGGAAGGAGAGCCAGCAGAGGGCCUGGGUGUGGCAGGUGUCGAGUAUGUAAGGCGUUCAUGCGUGUGUGUGCGUAAAUGGGAUUGGGCCUAUGUGUCUCAGUGUAUCCCUCUCUUUUCUCAAAACCAACUACCGUGCUUUUUUCUGUCUUGUAUUAUUAUAUAUAUUACGUAUAGUAUAUUGUAGUUCAUAAUGAACUCAAAUGGGAGGGCGUUGCACUCUUAAUGUGCGCGCGGACAAUGUGUGCAUUGUUGCACCCCUGGUAAAGUCUGCUGACUCUAAAGAGCUUGACUCCGGUCGCUCCACUGAGCGCCCCGCUCACUGUGAGAGAGCUGAUGCACUUUAAUACGCUACGUUGGAUGUUUGUUAAGCUCGACAAACCUCUUAAGAAAAACCGGGGUUAAUCUAAGAGCAAGCUGGCGUGUAAGAGAUUGAUAGAGGUAGAACGAUUUCUCAGUUGAAUUGCAGGCGUCAACCACGGAGGCAAUUGAUUCUGGGUUGUUAUUGGUUGUUAUAUUCCAUAUCCCCCCCCCCCGGUCUGUCACGGUUUAUCUUUGCUUUCACUUAUAUUGACCCUUUUAUCAAGCAGGAUAGUCCAAGAUGUGCUCUAGAAAACACAAACUCAGACAUGCAAAUACCCC